rnacentral:rRNA from 1 species
AAUUUUGGACAAUGGGGGAAACCCUGAUCCAGCCAUCCCGCGUGUAUGAUGAAGGCCUUCGGGUUGUAAAGUACUUUUGGCAGAGAAGAAAAGGUAUCCCCUAAUACGGGCUACUGCUGACGGUAUCUGCAGAAUAAGCACCGGCUAACUACGUGCCAGCAGCCGCGGUAAUAGGGAGGGUGCAAGCGUUAAUCGGAAUUACUGGUCGUAAAGCGUGUGGAGGCGGUACGAAAAGAAAGAUGGGAAAUCCCAGGGAGCAACCAUGGAACUGCAUUUUUAACUGCCGAGCUAGAGUAUGUCAGGGGGGGGUAGAAUUCCACGUGUAGCAGUGAAAUGCGUAGAUAUGUGGAGGAAUACCGAUGGCGAAGGCAGCCCCCUGGAAUAAUACUGACGCUAAGCCACGAAAGAGUGGGGAGAAAACAGG